CCAUCUCCCUCGCCAUUAAUGGAGGAUACCAGAACAAGAGAGAAAAUGGGGGAAAGAAGGUGAAUGGAUGAACACAUUCAGGUAUGUGAAUACAAUACAUAUCAAGGGUGUCAACGUACAGUACUAUAUCCACAUAACACACACUGCUCAACAAUAAGGAGUAAACCAGGACUCUCAAUUACGUGGAGUGAAAGAAGCCAAAUGAAACAAAAAGUGCAUACG